ensembl:lncRNA
GAAGAACUUAAUAAAAAAGUUACUAUCCCUUUCGACAACUUUUUUGUUAACUUUCGGGUAACGAUUCUUCGCCGUGUCUAACCUCCGAGAACAGAAAACAAAACUACUCCCCGGCGCAGUUUGUACGGUAAUGUUUUUUCUCUCCCAUAUCUUUUAUACAAAACCACCAGCAGUGUUUCUCAGCAUAUAUGAAAGUUCUGACGUUGUGAACAAGCGAACACAAGGCUGCAACCGCGAAAAGGCUGGACACACGGACUAGGGUGUUUUAUCGUUACUAUUCACAAGAAGAGCGAAAUUAUCUACGAGGACAAAGACGCGUCCGACUAAGGAACUGACAAAUGACAAGGACACAUUGGUGACCGGCACGAGAGUUCGAGCCGCCGACCGAAAGCGUAAGAAGGGAAAAAGACCUACUUUUGGCCAGUUUUCUCGCCCUCGCCUUGGAUCUCAUCUUGUCGGCUUGUAGAUUCCUCUCGUCCUCCGUGAGCCCAGAAGCAGCAACAACACUAUCUUCAUCUCACAAGCAUUGUCAGUUUGGACACCUUCGCACAUGCGCACAGGCCAUUCAAUCUGACACCCUCAUCAGGGCCAAAAAACUUUGCAAUGUAUUCAUCAUCACUUUUUGUCCUAUCGUCUCCCCUUUAGAUCACUUAUCUCUUCCCCUCCUCCCUCUCAGCACCAUCUCGGACCCCCUCCCCCCCUCCCCUCCCCCUACCACCGCCUUUGCCACCACCACCUUCUUGACUACCCCUUUAAGAGCAAUAACUUAUUUUUCGCAAACCUGUGGGAUCCGGACUAGCAAUGGAUACAGCAUGGUAUGUGAUGGGGUCAAGGUCGCAUCCCUCAACUGCAAGAUAGGCCUAACUCAGAAGAUGAUUAUUUACAAUUGAUGCAAUGGAUGUCUUAUCUGGCAUUGUGUUCAAAUGUAGGUUAAUCAAAUGCCAACUUUUUCCAGGGGUCAUUAUUGACUUCGCUUAUUCAGAUGCAUAAAGUUGCAUGUACGAUAGCUCUCCGUAUGAAAACAUAACGUUGCACACACAUGCUUUGCCUGCGAGCAAGCCACACGAAAACGGCAGCUGUUGACGCAUGCAGCAGCCUACUCUCAACAGACGAGACGACGAGUAGGCUACAGAACCGGGCUAGUUUUCAUUCAUUGUAUUUCUAUAGGAAGCAUGUAUAAGUAAGUUAAGGUUUUUCUACUUGAAAAUAUGCCUUAUUUCUGCACCCCUAUCAUCUCUGUGAACUAUGGUGCGAUGUAAUGAAUGCAAACAUCCCAUCGCCAUUUUUGGCACAAGGGCUCCAGGUAAAACCAGCGAGGAAGAGAAAUAGAUUGUGAAUUUCUAAUCACCCCAUCCGGGAUUCGAACCAACCCAGCUCCAACUCCUGCCACAGGAUCAAACACCUUAGCCGCUGGGUUACCUACUGCCAGGAGGAAGGAAGUGUGGGAUGGAGGAAGUGGUACUCACUAAGCAAGCAGCGAGACGUCCUUUACAGUGGUGCCAUGACCCGGAUCUACAUUGGUGCUCAGCUCAACGCUGGGUUUGCUGUUGAGGAAGUUUGAGGGGUGAAUGUAGCACAUGGGGAUGUGUGAAACUUACUCCACAGCCUGAAGUGUCUCACCUCAAUGGCAAGCUUUUUGAGGGAUCGGCUAAGAUGCUUGAGGAGAGCGGCCACAUGUGUUUGUGAGGCAGAGAUCCCGAGUUCGAGCCUGUUAAACAACAGUGAGACUGACUAACACAGAAGGCAGCACUGGACAGCCAUGCAGGCGAAGGAAUCAUCUUUUAUGCAGUGAUGGUGAAAUGGACAAACGCACACAUCAGCUGUUGCUUCAUUGAAUAAUAAAAUUGCCAUGCAAUCAUA